AAUCCACCUCCUCUGAGGUUUAACAUUCUCGCUAGCCGUAGCUCCUCUUUCAAAUCAACAUGGGAUCUCACAAAAAUUGUAAUGGGUAGGUCGGAUAAUUUAAGAUUAGUUGAUAGUAUAAAGGGGAAGAAGAGACACCCAAUUUUUUUUAUAGAGGAAGGAAAGGAGGGAGGGAGAGAGGGAGAGAGAGAGAGAGAGAGAGAGAGAGAGAGAGAGAGAGAGAGAAGGUGCAUGAAGAGCAAGAUGGAGAAGCAGGGCACGUGCUGUGCUAACUCAAUUCAGUUCAAUUCAGAUCUGUUGGGGGUUUUGAGUUAGUUCUUCAUGUGCCCCUCUUCGCCAUCGUGACCACUGCGCCUUAAUUAAUGAACCCUCUGCUUCUGCUUCUUCAUUGUUCAGAGAGCUACAAAUAUGCAAUGUGGGUUCAAAAAGGAAGCUGAAAUUGAAGUUCCAACAUCAUCUCAAUGUCAAUUCUAGUUUCCUUC